UAGGUGUCCCAAGAGACUAUCUCUCCUUCCUUCUUCAUACCCCAGGAAUAAGACAGGCAUUUGCUAUAUGCACUUAUCCCACACAAAGCUUGAACUGUGCUUCAACUUUGUACUAAAGAGGCCACCCCUAGUGAUGAGAAGGACUUUGUCCUUCACGGCAAUUUCAUUCUUGGCUUUU
rnacentral:sRNA from 1 species